rnacentral:lncRNA from 1 species
CUGUUGUAUGCUCAUACUCUGCUAUUUUCUAUCUUCCAGAAUAUAAUUUGUGCUUUCCUCAACCCUAUACAGCUUCACAAAGGAAUCCACAUAUGGUCUGAAAACCGCCUCCCUACGUCAACUGGCCAGUUGGAGCCCCGGAGUCUUGUGCCUCCAAAGAAGUUGGCAGCCACAUUGUUCCACUCUCCGUAAGAUGAAGGACCUCUUGGAUUGUGCUCCUCACCUCAUAAUGAGAAUUACCAGCAGGCCUGGAUGGAUUCCUA